rnacentral:rRNA from 1 species
AUCGAACGCUAGCGGGAUGCCUUACACAUGCAAGUCGAACGGAGUGGCGAACGGGUGAGUAAUGUCUAGUAACGAGCACAGUAGCAGGGGACACCUACGCGAAAGCGUAGCUAAUACCGCAUACGAUUGGAGCGGCAGAUAGUGGCUUAGCUAGUUGGUGGGGUAAAGGCUCACCAAGGCGACGAUGCGUAGCUGGUUUGAGAGGACGACCAGCCACACUGGGACUGAGACACGGCCCAGACUCCUACGGGAGGCAGCAGUGGGGAAGUUUGGACAAUGGAGGAAACCCUGAUCCAGCCAUCCCGCGUGUGCGAUGAAGGCCUUCGGAUUGUAAAGCACUUUUGUCAGGAAAGCGGUACCUGCAGAGUAAGCCCCGGCUAACUACGUGCCAGCAGCCGCGGUAAUAC